rnacentral:rRNA from 1 species
AGAGUUUGAUCAUGGCUCAGAUUGAACGCUGGCGGCAGGCCUAACACAUGCAAGUCGAACGGUAACAGGAAGCAGCUUGCUGCUUUGCUGACGAGUGGCGGACGGGUGAGUAAUGUCUGGGAAACUGCCUGAUGGAGGGGGAUAACUACUGGAAACGGUGGCUAAUACCGCAUAACGUCGCAAGACCAAAGAGGGGGACCUUCGGGCCUCUUGCCAUCAGAUGUGCCCAGAUGGGAUUAGCUAGUUGGUGAGGUAACGGCUCACCAAGGCGACGAUCCCUAGCUGGUCUGAGAGGAUGACCAGCCACACUGGAACUGAGACACGGUCCAGACUCCUACGGGAGGCAGCAGUGGGGAAUAUUGCACAAUGGGCGCAAGCCUGAUGCAGCCAUGCCGCGUGUAUGAAGAAGGCCUUCGGGUUGUAAAGUACUUUCAGCGGGGAGGAAGGUGUUGUGGUUAAUAACCGCAGCAAUUGACGUUACCCGCAGAAGAAGCACCGGCUAACUCCGUGCCAGCAGCCGCGGUAAUACGGAGGGUGCAAGCGUUAAUCGGAAUUACUGGGCGUAAAGCGCACGCAGGCGGUCUGUCAAGUCGGAUGUGAAAUCCCCGGGCUCAACCUGGGAACUGCAUUCGAAACUGGCAGGCUUGAGUCUUGUAGAGGGGGGUAGAAUUCCAGGUGUAGCGGUGAAAUGCGUAGAGAUCUGGAGGAAUACCGGUGGCGAAGGCGGCCCCCUGGACAAAGACUGACGCUCAGGUGCGAAAGCGUGGGGAGCAAACAGGAUUAGAUACCCUGGUAGUCCACGCCGUAAACGAUGUCUACUUGGAGGUUGUGCCCUUGAGGCGUGGCUUCCGGAGCUAACGCGUUAAGUAGACCGCCUGGGGAGUACGGCCGCAAGGUUAAAACUCAAAUGAAUUGACGGGGGCCCGCACAAGCGGUGGAGCAUGUGGUUUAAUUCGAUGCAACGCGAAGAACCUUACCUGGUCUUGACAUCCACGGAAGUUUUCAGAGAUGAGAAUGUGCCUUCGGGAACCGUGAGACAGGUGCUGCAUGGCUGUCGUCAGCUCGUGUUGUGAAAUGUUGGGUUAAGUCCCGCAACGAGCGCAACCCUUAUCCUUUGUUGCCAGCGAUUAGGUCGGGAACUCAAAGGAGACUGCCAGUGAUAAACUGGAGGAAGGUGGGGAUGACGUCAAGUCAUCAUGGCCCUUACGACCAGGGCUACACACGUGCUACAAUGGCGCAUACAAAGAGAAGCGACCUCGCGAGAGCAAGCGGACCUCAUAAAGUGCGUCGUAGUCCGGAUUGGAGUCUGCAACUCGACUCCAUGAAGUCGGAAUCGCUAGUAAUCGUGGAUCAGAAUGCCACGGUGAAUACGUUCCCGGGCCUUGUACACACCGCCCGUCACACCAUGGGAGUGGGUUGCAAAAGAAGUAGGUAGCUUAACCUUCGGGAGGGCGCUUACCACUUUGUGAUUCAUGACUGGGGUGAAGUCGUAACAAGGUAACCGUAGGGGAACCUGCGGUUG